rnacentral:tRNA from 1 species
UGUCUUGUAGUAUAUCACCCAAAUUACUGUAAACUGCAACUUUACCAAAGCCUAAUAGUGCCAAGACAU